rnacentral:rRNA from 1 species
CCCUUAGAUGUUCUGGGCCGCACGCGCGCUACACUGAUGCAUUCAACGAGUCUAAAACCUGGUCUGAUAGGGCUGGGUAAUCUUUUGAAAGUGCAUCGUGAUUGGGAUAGAUGAUUGCAAUUCUUCAUCUUCAACGAGGAAUGCCUAGUAAACGCAAGUCAUCAGCUUGCAUUGAUUACGUCCCUGCCCUUUGUACACACCGCCCGUCGCUCCUACCGAUUGAAUGAUCCGAUGAAUACCAUGGAUUGAGAGUACGAAUAGGUUCGCUUAUUUCUGCUGCUCGAGAAGUGGAGUAAAUCUUAUCAUUUAGAGGAAGGAGAANUCGUANCA